ensembl:snRNA U6 U6 spliceosomal RNA
GUACUCUCUUUGGCACCACAUAUACUAAAAUUGGAUGAUACAGAGAAGGUUAGCAUGGCGCCUGCACAAGGAUGACACUCAAAUUCAUGACAUGUUCCUCAUUUGG